GGCCUCGUAGCUCAGCUGGUGGAGCAUGCGCGUACAAAGCGUAGGCGGCGUCCAUACGUGAGUUCGAAUCCCACCGAGGCUA
rnacentral:tRNA from 1 species